CACACGAAUGCCAGUAGGCUAAAAGGGCAAGGGUUUUUUCUUGUUACCAAGGGAACAGCAAAAAAAACAUAUUGCAGAGGCAGAUGUCUGAGACCCAGACAUCCCUCUCCACAGCAACGUCCCACAGCUCAUCCUGGGGAAUCCAGAGGUGUUCAAGGCCAGUUGGGAUAUGUAGUCCCUCCAACAGGUCUGGCUCUACCUUGAGGUCUCCACCCAGGCAGACAAGCCCGGAAUGCCUCCAGAGGAAGGCGUCCAGCAGGGAUCCUCAUCAGAUGCCCCAACAACCUCAACUGACUCCUUUCGAUGCGAAGGAGCAGCGGCUCUGCUCCAGGCUCCCUCCUGAUGUCCAAGCUCCUGACCCUAUCCCUAAGGCUGAGCCCAGCCACCUUUCAAAGUAAACUCAUUUUGGCCGCUUGUAUCCGCCAUCUUGUUCUUUCGUUCAAGACUCAUAGCUCAUGGCCAUAGGUAGGGAUUGAAAUGUAGGUUGACUGGUUGACAGAAAGCUUUGCCUCGUGACUCAAUUCCCACUCUUUUUAUUUCAUUUUUUAAAUUGAAAAUUAACACAGUUUCUUGUUUCCUAUUGGAGUACAGUUUAUAAUUUAUUUUACAUGAAAUCAAUGUUAAAAGUGCUAUUUGUUUUAAGUUUUUGAAGACUUACUGUACUGUCCUUCAGCUCUGUACGUUCAAAUUUCCACUCAAUUUUGUGCUGACUCCAAAAAAACCUCAGAAACCAGAGCCCUGUCCUCGAGCAGUGCUGUGCAUGUUUUUCAGGUCAUUACACACUUCCGAUAGUUCAACAUCGAGAUAACAGAGUCAUACCAUCUGUGUGGAAAUGACUUGCUGCAUCUCGUGUCUGAAAUGCUGAGCCAGCCGUCCGUACUACAACCUGAGGGGAGGCAGAAGCUUGUGUGGAUACAGAGCUGUAAUGUAAUGUGCAUGGGAAACAUCAAGGGAAUUCAAUAAAAAGUUGUGAGGCACUGUUCUUUUUUGAAAGGCGAAAGGAGGCGAUGUGAACCUAACACAAAAUUGUUCAUCUUAAAGCAUAAACAAAACAUCUAUUAUAUUUCACAAUAAUUUCAGGAUGCAAUUUUCAAAACCUUACAUAUAUCUGUGAAUACAGUAUUAUGUUUUACAGAAGAAAAUGAAAGUUUUUUGCUGACUUUGGUGGAAUUAAACAGAAAUGAUUGAAAACAACAAGCUUCUUGCACAAUAUAACAGUACGGUGGACUGUUUAUCUACAUCAUAAUUGGGAGUUAUAAAAGCACCCAAAGACACCUGCCCACCUUCUUUAUACCAUCAUAUGAAAUGAAAGUACUCAGCUCAACCUGCACUCUGUAACUGUGUAUUCUAUUUCUAGGUCUGAACAUCCAUUCUGUACAAUUCCCUCUUGACCUUUUGCUAGAUGAAAACUUUUCAGUGAGGCAGCCUUGCGUCAGGUUCUGCGAUUGACCGGUAUCCUCCUCCUCCUCUUUUACAAUGCAUGAUGGGAUGUUUUCCAGCUUCCUACAGCCUGAAAAGCAAAUACAUAUGGAGCAGAUGUAUGGAUGAAUAACAUUAAUCACUGUAACAAAACAUAAGUUCAGUUUAUAAACAGUCUUGACAGUGAACAUCAAAACGGACAAUAUAAAGGCAACACGCAUGAUAAUCUUAAGGCCAUUCAAAGUAUUUAUUUCUGAUAUUUUAAGCACUCAUUGUUCAGGUCAGCUUAAAUAUUACACGCAAGAAAAGCUCUUUAGACUUUUCAUUUUAUCACAAGACUUUUAACAUAUACUGUACAUAGAACUUUUUACACUCAGAAAGCUCAGUUUU